AGCACAUCACCUGCCAACAGAUCAGCAAAUUAGAUGUAUUAUUUGAUAACAAAUGUUCAUCAGCAGUUUAAAUCUAUUUAAAUAGGUUCAAUGUAAUGUCUGUAUAGUCUGCUUCUAUAAAAUUAAUUUUUCUUUCCAACUUUGUGAAUUUGUGAAGGAUUUCUGAAAGGGGUGAGUUGUUGGACCCCUAUGUGAAGCCAUGAGGAAUGUAGUAUGAGCAAAAGUAAAUUCUAUAUUCGAAAUCCAAGUCAUUAGGCAAGAGUGAAGUCAAAAGUAGGAGAACCAGGUCGGGUAGUAAAAGGAGUCAGGUCGAGAAUAGAAGCGCGCACAAGAGAAAGCUGUGGAAGACUUCUCAAUAUUGAGCGUAGGAAUAGAGGUGCAGAGCUUUGGAGCAUAACAGGAGAAGGCUUGGGGGACAGACAGGAGACCAGAAUUAGAAGAGCAAAGGUUGCAAGGGUCACAGGGGAGCUGGUGCCUAUUCCAGCAGGCAACAGGCACAAGGCAGGAUACACCAGUCCCAGGACUGGUCAUAGACAGAUGCAAACACACACCAGGAUUGAUGUUCCCAGGAGCCAACUAAACUACCACCUACGCAUGCCGAUGCAGCUAACUACUUGAACUACACAUUUGGAUAGAUAGCUAAAAGCAUAGAAUUUAAAUCAUGCAAAGCUAAAAUUACACAUUGAAAUAAAAUGGCAUGAUGCACUCCUGUGAGCUCAGACAAUUUUUGUUACCCUGAUAUAAUCACUACUGCUCUGGAAUGUCCUUCACUGACAGCUGAAAGAACCUGUUUAAUCUUGACAAAGAAGACUAAGAGGGGACUUGAUUCAUGUAUUCAUGAAUAAUUUAAAUUAAAUCAGUUGAAAUC